UACGGGGGGGGCAAGCGUUGUUCGGAAUUACUGGGCGUAAAGGGCUCGUAGGUGGCCCACUAAGUCAGACGUGAAAUCCCUCGGCUUAACCGGGGAACUGCGUCUGAUACUGGAUGGCUAGAGAUUGGGAGAGGGAUGCGGAAUUCCAGGUGUAGCGGUGAAAUGCGUAGAUAUCUGGAGGAACACCGGUGGCGAAGGCGGCAUCCUGGACCAACACUGACGCUGAGGAGCGAAAGCCAGGGGAGCAAACGGG
rnacentral:rRNA from 1 species